UACGAAGGGGGCUGGCGUUGUUCGGAUUUACUGGGCGUAAAGCGCACGUAGGCGGAUUGUUAAGUCGGGGGUGAAAUCCUGGAGCUCAACUCCAGAAUUGCCUUCGAUACUGGCUUUCUAGAGGCUGGAAGAGGUUAGUGGAAUUCCCAGUGUAGAGGUGAAAUUCGUAGAUAUUGGGAAGAACACCAGUGGCGAAGGCGGCUAACUGGUCCAGAUCUGACGCUGAGGUGCGAAAGCGUGGGGAGCAAACAGG
rnacentral:rRNA from 1 species